AGGUUUCAGUAGCUGAGAGUGUCAUUGCUUUCAAAGGUAAGGUUGGGUUCAUGACGUAUCAUCCGAAGAAGCCACACAAACGGGGAAUGACUGCUUGGACAUUGUUCGAUGCCAGAACAGGUUAUGUCUACAACCAGAAGCUGCGUGUCAAGUUGGGAGGACAAGCCGCCACUGGGCGAACAGUUACUGGCCUGUAUGAGGUUAUUGCAGGUAAGAAUCACCAAUUAUUUUUCUUCUCCAGAACUUUUUACUCAGUUACAGGAUAUAGGUUGCGGUGCAUGUGGUACACUGAGAGCGAAUAGGAUAGGAACAGCAGAAGACAUCCAGAAUGCUAAUCCUGCUGUCGGCGACACUGUGUAUUCAGGAGAAAUGGAAAUCAACUGUACGUUGUAUGGAAGGACAAGAGGAAGGUGACUCUCAUGACAAACCUGUGCAACUCGAGGACAUAUGAGAGGCAUAGGAGAGAAAGACACAGAAAAAUGUUGAGCACGAAACCCUGCGCCAUCAAACUUUACACCCAGCAACGAGCUUAUGUGUCCUGUGCCUUGAUUCCAGUGAUUCCACAUACUCAUGGACUACAAAACAAAAUGCACCAAGGAAUACCACCACUAAACUGUGAGUAUGACAACAGAAUUUGGAGGCAACAUUGGAGAAGAUACAGUUUUAGAUUUCAUUGAUGGCGGUGGUAAUGUUUUAGUAGCUGCAGGUUCAAGUAUAGGUGACCCUAUAAGGGGAAUUGGAAGUAAUUGUGGUGUUGAAUUUGAUGAGGAAAACACAGCUGUAAUAGAUCAGCUUAAC